rnacentral:misc_RNA from 1 species
GUCAUCCCCACCUUCCUCCGGUUUGGCACCGGCAGUCCUCCCAGAGUCCUCGGCAUGACCCGGUAGCAACUGGGAGCGGGGGUUGCGCUCGUUGCGGGACUUAACCCAACAUCUCACGACACGAGCUGACGACAGCCAUGCAGCACCUGUCGAGGGACUCCGAAGAGGGGUCCUGGUUUCUCAGGACUUUCCCCUCGAUGUCAAGCCCAGGUAAGGUUCUUCGCGUUGCGUCGAAUUAAACCACAUGCUCCACCGCUUGUGCGGGCCCCCGUCAAUUCCUUUGAGUUUCAGCCUUGCGGCCGUACUCCCCAGGCGGGGCACUUAAUGCGUUAGCGCCGGCACCCAGGGGGUCGCUCCCCCAGGCACCUAGUGCCCAUCGUUUACGGCGUGGACUACCAGG